AAGCUGUAAUUGUUUCCAGGUGUCUAGGGGGCUAGUUCUGGGACCCCUCAGGCACCAAAGCCUUAGAUAAGUGGCCCAGUGUCUCUUGUGGCCUCUCCAUGUCCUCUGCAUACUUUGGAUCGUCUCUGAAUGAUGUGGUGUGCCUGUGCUCAAUCCACACCGGGUUCUGUCAGAAUUCCCGAUCCAGGCACCGUCGGGCCUGUAGCUCUGGGGCCGGCCCUGGGUGCCCUUCGCGCAGCCAGUGCGGACAGCUGUAGGAACAGCUGCACAGUGUGCGCGUGGGAGGGCAGUGCCGGCCCGGACCGCGCGUUUCUCCUGCAGGAGGGCGUCCAGCAUGGAAGAAAUAGUUGAAGGUUGUACCGGAGCCCUGCACAUCCUCGCUCGGGAUGUUCACAACCGCAUCGUCAUCCGAGGGACUCAAUACCAUUCCACUGUUCGUGCAGCUGCUCUAUUCUCCCAUCGAAAACAUCCAGAGAGUCGCCGCAGGGGUCCUCUGUGAGCUGGCUCAGGACAAGGAGGCUGCGGAGGCCAUUGAGGCGGAGGGGCCACGGCGCCCCUGACAGAGCUGCUGCACUCGAGGAACGAGGGCGUGGCCACGCACGCGGCCGCCGUGCUGUUCCGGAUGUCUGAGGACAAGCCGCAGGACUACAAGAAGCGGCUUUCCGUGGAGCUGACCAGCUCCCUCUUCAGGACAGAGCCCAUGGCUUGGAAUGAGACCGCUGAUCUCGGACUUGAUAUUGGUGCCCAGGGAGAACCCCUUGAUAUCGGCAGGAUGACCCCAGCUACCGCUCCUUCCACUCUGGUGGCUACGGCCAGGACGCCUUGGGCAUGGACCCCAUGAUGGAGCACGAGAUGGGCGGCCACCACCCUGGUGCCGACUACCCGGUGGAUGGGCUGCCGGACCUGGGGCACGCCCAGGACCUCAUGGACGGGCUGCCGCCAGGUGACAGCAACCAGCUGGCCUGGUUUGAUACUGACCUGUAACCUCCUUUUAGGUAAGAAGCUUAAAAAGCCAGUUGGGUAAAAAGUUUUACUCUGCCUACAGCACUUGAGCUUGACUUGGUUGUAGGGUGGGAGUGGCUUGGGCCUAUCUGUAAAUCUGCCACAAAAACAGAUCUAGACUUGGAAAGGAGAUGUCUCGGGACAUGUGAAUGUUCUUGGAUUUCUGGUUGUUCUGUGAUCACAUGUUUGGAAGUUAUUAACUUUAAUGUUUUUUUGCCACAGCUUUUGCAACUUAAUACUCCCAUGAGUACCAUGUGCUGUUGAAUAUCAAUAGCAGCCUCUCUGUACAGCUGUGUUGUCUGAACUUGGUUGUGAUUGGCCUGUAGAGUUGCAGAGGGCUCGAGGGUGGGCUGGUAUCUCAGAAAGUGCCUGACACACUAACCACGCGAGUUUCCUGUGGGACACUUGAAGUAAACUGUUUGUUCUGGUCCUUUUCGCCCAGCAGUAACAAUACAUAUGGAUUUGGGGAGUGACUCGAGAAGUGAAGAAUGCACAAGAAUGGAUCACAAGAUGGAAUUGAUCAAGCCCUAGCCUUGCUUGUUAAAAAAGUUUUGUUUUUUUUUUAAAUAAUCUGUAAUGGUACUGACUUUGCUUGCUUUGAAGUAGCUCUUUAAUUUCUUUUUCUUUCUUUUUUUUUUUUGCAGUAACUGUUAGUUUAAGUCUCUCGUAGUGUUAUGUUAUAGUGAAUACUGCCGCAGCGAUUUCUAAUUUUUAAGAAUUGAGUAAUGGUGUAGAACACUAAUUCAUAAUCACUAAUUGUAAUCUGAAGAAAGUGUAACAUUGUGUAGCCUUUUUGUAUAAAAUAGACAAAUAGAAAUGGUCCAAUUAGUUUCCUUUUUAAUAUGCUGAAAAUAAGCAGGAAGAUCUAUUUCAUGUUUUUGAUCAGAAACUUUAUUUGGGAUAUGUGUGGGUAGGGUACUCAGUGAGGCGUUACUUGGAACCUUGUUUUGGACAGUUUACCAGUUGCCUUUUAUCCCAAAGUCGUUGUAACCUGCUGUGAUACGAUGCUUAAGAGAAAAUACAGUUAUAAAAAUGGUUCAGAAUUAAACUUUUAAUUCAUUAGAUCGUGUCGCCUUUUCUUCUUUGGCCCGUGUGUGAGGAGGGCCUGGGUUCACCUGCGCUCGAGUGCGGGGGCCAGGCCGGAGCCCUGAGCACCCCGGGCUCCACAGGCAAGCGGGGCGGCUCUGACCCUGCCAAGGGGCUAGGUCGGGCCUGCGAGGGCAGAAACGCGCACUCGGAAAGCCGAGGCUGCACGGGCAGGGGACAGAGGGGCUCCCCAGCCCGGGCUGGAGCAGAACGAGCAGAGCUGUGGGCUGCCCCACGCCCCCAGAAGGCCUUCGUGCUGGUCACGCUCGCUCUGCGCCUCCCUCUGAAGCCCCCAGGGCCGGGGGCACGGGGUCCCGUGUGGGACUGGGCUCGUGUCGGGCUGAGGGCGGUGGCGACCGUCAGUGCUAUCCACCCUGCCGGGCAGACCUCCUGGGGCCGGGUCCUGUGCCAUCGGGGUGGGCAGCAGGCCUGGCCCAUUUCCUGGGACUGAAAACGGCCAUGAAGGUGGAGGCAGCGGCACAUGCGAGGCUUCCCGAGGGCAGGAGCCCCACGGGUCCCACGUCCCGCUCCACAGGGCCCGGCCACAGAGGGGAGCACUGGGCGAGGGCGACCAGCACACCUGGCCUUCCCCGGAGCCCGUUCCCCAGGCGCGGAGUCAGGCAGAGCCCCCGAGCGAGCCGUGCUGGGUCCCCCGACUUUCUUGGGUCCAGACAGGCUGCAGGUGGCACUGAGGCCCAGGAGACGUCGCGUGAGCUGGCUAGGGGCCUCCCCUCCGGGGAGCCCAGGCUGCGGAGGAUGUCCAGGGCCAGGGACGCCACCACGCGGUCGUCGGGUG
rnacentral:lncRNA from 1 species